rnacentral:rRNA from 1 species
UACGAAGGGGGCUAGCGUUGCUCGGAAUCACUGGGCGUAAAGCGCACGUAGGCGGACUCUUAAGUCGGUGGUGAAAUCCUGGAGCUCAACUCCAGAACUGCCUUCGAUACUGGGAGUCUCGAGUCCGGGAGAGGUGAGUGGAACUGCGAGUGUAGAGGUGAAAUUCGUAGAUAUUCGCAAGAACACCAGUGGCGAAGGCGGCUCACUGGCCCGUAACUGACGCUGAGGCACGAAAGCGUGGGGAGCAAACAGG